GAGUUCUAGAAUCACUGUGUCCCCUAAAAAUAGAAUAGGAGCCAUAUAUAUAAUUUAAAAUCUUGUGGAAAAAAAAAAUAGGAGAAAUAGUCUGUGUCUUCUACACUCCCACACAUCUGCAUUUGGGUCAGCUGCCUGGCAAGGGCUCAGCAGCCAAACACGGACAGAGAAACUCUAUGGAGCAACCCAGUUCUGCAAAGACUUAAGAGAACACGGGUGCUCCUGUCCAGUGUUCCGAUGUCGUUUUCUGUCCAGGUGGUUGAGCUCAAGGCCGCAGCUCCACGAACAGUGCUGGGUUCUGCUCUCACACAAUUUUAGCUGGAUCUGGGACUGGCAACCCCCUGCCUCAGCCUGGGUUCUCAUCCUACUGAGCCUGACCACGGGCUGCUCUGGAUCCCUGAAAUGGGCCUGGCUCACCCAGGUUCUGCAGACUGGACCUCUGACCCAAUCCUGGUGCCCACUCCCCUCCACCCCUGGGUCUGGCCGCACCUCAUCCUGCCCCCUCCAGCCUUCCCUGCCUUCUUCCUGCUCAAACUCUCACUGCACCCAGAGCUGCAGACUGGACCACAGAGCGUGCCUCUGGAACACACCAUGUUCAUCCAAAGAGAUGUUUUCUCUCCAUAUCCAUGCAACAGAGGGGAGUACUUGUAGAAUGGACUACUUUCAGCUUGACAGUGUGGACAGUGGAAGGCACAGAACAGCAUUUCUAAAGCAGUGCUUAAUAGAGUCUUGUCCCAGGAACACUGGGAGGCAGGACAGAGGGGGGCUAUUGAAAUGGGCUGCUUUCCUGCAGGAUUUGUAAGAGGCUUUCUUAUUUCACAAAAAGGAGGCUAGAGGGAGUUGCCGCACAUAUCUGAAGAUAUUUUCCAAGAGCUGUCUCACAGGAGACACCUGGGCAAUGACAAGGAUAUUCCAAAGUUGGAAAAGAGCAGGCAGAGAGGGGGAAGGGUCAGGGCACCCCUUAAUACUCCGUGGAGAGCACAUCUGGGAGCGGGGCUGCUCAGCACACAGACCUGUUUGGUUUGGCUUGACUGUCUGCCUUGGUUGCCAACAUGUAAAACUUGGGGGCCUCCCACAAAAAUUUGGAUUUCUGGCUUCUCUUCAAAAGCCGGCCAUGCUGGGUCCACGAUUCCUGAGGGUAAGUCUGGAAGAAGGGAGCAAGGCUGCUUUCGAGAGAGGACAGAGACUUCAGGGCUGCUCCCUCUCGUCGCUCACCUUCAUUCUCUGCCGGGCCCCUGUGAGCCUCUGAGUGGAAACCGUCACUUUCUACCUGCUUCUCCGUCACUCUGAGCUUGGUGGAAAAUCAUACUGGAGAUGAGGAUGUGACACCACACCGCAGUCUCGGAAUCACUCUAACUUGUCAGGGGAGUGCACUCCUGCAAAAUAAACUUCUUAGGUGUUCCCGGACUCAAUAUGGAUGUUGGAGGGGAGAUUGUCCCGUGUACAAUGGCAAGCAUUUCUCUGACUCCAGCAGGAUGUCCAAGACUUCUACUCGUUUCUCACACUAAGGACCCAGAGACACCAGCCGACCCCACAGGUGGAGGGCUCAGUCCCACCGGGCUGCCCCCCACCCCCACACUUGAGACCCCAGGCUCCUGCUUCUGACCACUGAGCACUGCAAAAUGGAGGCUCCAAUGCCCUCCUCCUUAGGUUCAAUUAAUGUGCUAGCAUGACUCACAGAAGUCCCAGAAAGGCUAAGGUUGGCCAGUUUAUUAAAGGACAUCAUAAGGGAUACGAGCCAGAAGAAGAGAUGCAUAAGGAGAGGUAGGGGGAAGGGUCUUCCAUGCUUCUCCAGGAUCAGUCUCCCCAACCUGCUGGUGCUCACCAACCCAGAAGCUCUCCAACACAGACCUUUUGGGGUUUUAUGGAGGCUUCAUUGCAUCAUCACGAUUGACUAAGUCCCUGGCCAUUGGCUGAUUUUAUCUCUAGCCCUUCUCCCCUCCCAGGAAGGUCAGGGAGUGGUGCUGAAAGUUCUACCUUUUAGUCACCUGGUUGGCUCCCUGGGUAACCAGCCCCCAUCCAAAGGUGCUUUCCAAAAGCCAUCUCGUGAACAUUACAAAAGGCCUUUAUCACUCUCAACACUCAGGAAAUUCCAUGGUUUUGGGGAGCUGGCACCAGAAACUGUGGAUGAAGACCAAUUAUUUAUGAGGUUUAUGUUUUUGUCAUUUGACCAAAUCGAUUAUUUUUUAUGAAUCGCAAUAUCGCACUAACUAUGGUCAUUCCCUAAAAAGUCCAAGGCAGAGUGUGGAUCUCACUCUGAGACAGACAGUGGGUUAGCACAGACAGGGCUGGGAGGCGCAGAGACUACCUUUAUCUUCCUUAGACCGCUGGGCUUUUGGAAGCCCAGAGAAUUCAUGGUGCCCCUUUCCUAAACUAACAGUAGUAAUUUUGACAAUGUUCCUAUCUGAUAACCAGGCAGUGCGUACUCUACUCCGCACACUGGGCAUUUAUAGGCUUAUCACACCCCUGAGAGGUAGGAGGCGUUAUCUGUGUGUGCACAAGCAGACCACAGGGCCUGUAAAGUUAUGAGGACUCGCAAAGGCCAGGCCACUACUUAGUGCUGGCCGUGGGCCGGACAGAGCCCCCUGGCUCCCCACCCUGUGACUCUCAAAUUCCAUGGCCCCCGAGAGAUGAGGGCAGAAAAACAUGCCCUACUCCCUGCUGGGAUAAAGGAUCAAGUUCCAAACACUCCAUGAUUAUCCUGGCUGUGGCCACAGGCAACAUUAACUCUCCUAUUUGGAAAGUAGUCAGCAAGAUUUUACAUCAGGGGUCAAUGCUAGCAAAGCAAAGGAUGACUAACAUGGGCAUCCCUAGGGGCCAGAAUUUAAAAUGUCUGAUUAGCCUCAGAUGUAGGGCUCAGGUGUGCAAUCUCCAUGCAAACUCACAGAACAGACCUGGAGAUUACUGUAGAAAGCGACUUUUUUUUUUUUUUUAAAUGUUUAUUGGAUGAAGAAUGAAAUACCAUAAUUUUUCUCUGCUCUCAUAGAUGCAAACAGCACAGGCUGACACACUGUGUAUGCGUGUGUGGGGGUGGGGGGAGAGAAGGAUGAGGGUGUGGGGGAGGAAGGGAGCAAUUGCUACCUUCUAAUUUCCUGUCAGAUGAAAUACAAACUUGGCCUUGAAAUGGUCCAUAAGAUUGACGAGCUAUACAGUAAAACUAUUAGAGGGUGUAAUUAACAAAUAGGCAAAUGCUCACAAUAAAUCCUGAGGUAAAAAGAAAUCAAAAUAAAUUAUUACUGACACUACAAUGACAUUAACCAGGUAAAGAUUUGUGUGUUCAUAUGGACAAAGUGGGAGCUAAACAUGAAAAAUACAAAGGCAUUCAUUUGUUUUGGUGAUCGAGUUGUGAGGUUUGGGGGAGCAUUCUCCUUUUUGUUAAUAUUUCCAUAACACUGUUUGUGUGACUGGUUCUUAAAAUUAUCUACAGGAUGAAAAAACUGAUGGGCUGCAGAGAAUUAACCUUCUUCUUAGAAGAAUGAAGAAGAGAUAACGGCAAUGGGGUGCAGGGACAAGGUCAGACAGAUAGCCAGGUCUACAGAGCAGAGAACGGGGGGCAUAUACGUAAUCCAAAGUAGGGCUGGGAGUCAGUGCGAAAAAAUAGAUUUCCUUCUCCACAUCACACCCAAAAAUAAACCCAGGUAGUUGAGAAGCCCGAAUGUGAGAAAGCAACACUAAACUUUUAUAAGAAAUUCAGAUAAUCUUUAGUCCUUCAGGGUAUGAGAAGGGUCUCUUAAAAUGCAAAGACUAUACACAUUCAGAAGAAAAGGGACAAAUUUAAGAAUAUUAAAAUCAAAAAGCAAUUUUUAUGCAACGAGAAGACAAAGUUACAUUCAAGGCACAGUCUUAAAGACUCCCUGUGCAGAGUAAAGAACUGACUGACAGAGUGAGAAGAAAUUAGAGAAUUUUUUAAAAAAAGUAACGUCCCAG